rnacentral:rRNA from 13 species
CUAGUGACUAGGGUGAAGUCGUAACAAGGUAGCCGUACUGGAAGGUGCGGCUGGAUCACCUCCUU